rnacentral:ncRNA from 1 species
AUAAAUAAAUUUUAUAUGGUUUAAAAAAUUUAUUAUAAAUUUAUUUUACAUAUAAAUUAUAGUGUUAAAUAAUUAUUAUUUAAAUAAUAGUAAUUAUAUAUUUGUAGUAAUUAAUAUUAAAUAUUUAAGAAAUUAAGAUUUAGUAAUAUAAAAAUUAUUAACAAAUUUUGUGCCAGCAGUUGCGGUUAAACAAAAGUUAAAUUAAAUUUUGUUAGUUAAUUAAUAAUUAAUUUAUUUAUUAUAAUUUAAAAUUAAUAUUAUUAGGUGAAAUUUUAAUAUUAUAUUUAUUUAUUUAAUUUAAUUUAUGAUUUAAUAAAUUUUAUUAUUAAACUAGGAUUAGAUACCCUAUUAUUUAAAAUUUAAAUUUAAAUACUAAAAUAGUAUAUAAUUAUUUAUUGAAACUUAAAUAUUUUGGCGGUAUUUUAGUUUAUUUAGAGGAAUCUGUUUAUUAAUUGAUAAUCCACGAAUAAAUUUACUUAAUUUAUUAUUUUGUAUAUCGUUGUUAAAAAAAUAUUUUUUAAUAAUUAUAAUAUUUUAUAAUUACUAAUAAAUUUAAAUCAAAUCAAGAUGCAGAUUAUAAUUAAGAAUAUAAUGGAUUACAAUAAAAUUAUUUAAAUGAAUUUUAAUUUGUAAUAAUUAAAUGAAGGUGGAUUUAAAUGUAAUUUUUUUUUAUUUUAUUUAAAUGAUUUAUAAUUAUAAUAUGUACAUAUUGCCCGUCGCUUUCAUAAAUAAGUUGAAAUAAGUCGUAACAAAGUAGAGGUACUGGAAAGUGUUUCUAGAAAGCA